rnacentral:rRNA from 1 species
GCUGCCCCUCUGAACGACCCGUGAACGCGUUAAGUACAAACAUCCCGGGGGGGUGAGGGUGCGUCCGCGCCCCGAGCCCCCUCGGCGCCCUUGCGUGCGCGACCGCACCCGCUCGCCCCCCCCCGGGCGGGCGGGAUGCCCGGUCGCGUCGCUAGCGGCCGAACAACGAACCCCCGGCGCGAGUCGCGCCAAGGAAUCGGAAAGACGACGAGGGGCUCGUCCGCUGCCCGUCGCCCCGUCCGCGGUGAUCGUGCGGGCAGCGGCGCGUCUCCUCCGUCGCGAAAAAUACGAAACGACUCUCGGCAACGGAUAUCUCGGCUCUCGCAUCGAUGAAGAACGUAGCGAAAUGCGAUACUUGGUGUGAAUUGCAGAAUCCCGUGAACCAUCGAGUCUUUGAACGCAAGUUGCGCCCCAAGCCAUUAGGCCGAGGGCACGUCUGCCUGGGUGUCACGCAUCGUCGCCCCCUCCGGACCCUUAGCCCCUCGGGGCUAGGUGGGGGCGGAAAAUGGCCUCCCGUGCGCUCCCCGCUCGCGGUUGGCCUAAAACAGAGUCCUCGGCGACGACGGCGCCGCGACGAUCGUUGGUGACGCCUCGAGCGCGCCUCGUCCACGGUCGCGUGCGCUUUCGUUCGGCCGGACCCAUCGAGAGACCCUUUCGGCGUCGCACGAUCGAUGCCCGCGUCGCGACCCCAGGUCAGGCGGGACUACCC